GACGAACGCUGGCGGCGUGCUUAACACAUGCAAGUCGAACGGAAAGGCCCUGCUUGCAGGGUACUCGAGUGGCGAACGGGUGAGUAACACGUGGGUGAUCUGCCCUGCACUUCGGGAUAAGCCUGGGAAACUGGGUCUAAUACCGGAUAGGAGCCAUUUUUAGUGUGAUGGUUGGAAAGUUUUUUCGGUGUAGGAUGAGCUCGCGGCCUAUCAGCUUGUUGGUGGGGUAAUGGCCUACCAAGGCGGCGACGGGUAGCCGGCCUGAGAGGGUGGACGGCCACAGUGGGACUGAGAUCCGGCCCAGACUCCUACGGGAGGCAGCAGUGGGGAAUAUUGCACAAUGGGCGCAAGCCUGAUGCAGCGACGCCGCGUGGGGGAUGACGGCCUUCGGGUUGUAAACUCCUUUCGCUAGGGACGAAGCUUUUUGUGACGGUACCUAGAUAAGAAGCACCGGCUAACUACGUG
rnacentral:rRNA from 1 species